rnacentral:rRNA from 1 species
AGCGAACGCUAGCGGCGUGGUUAAGACAUGCAAGUCGAGCGAGGUUCUCUUCGGAGAGCUUAGCGGCAAACGGGUGCGUAACACGUGAGUAACCUGCCUUUAAGUGGGGGAUAGCUUGGUGAAAAUCAGGUAAUACCGCAUAAUAUCUUUUAUUGCAUAAUAAAAGUAUUAAAACUUGAAAUGGUGCUUAAAGAGGGGCUCGCGACCUAUCAGCUUGUUGGUAAGGUAACGGCUUACCAAGGCAAAGACGGGUAACCGGUCUGAGAGGAUGACCGGUCACACUGGAACUGAGAUACGGUCCAGACACCUAUAGGUGGCAGCAGUCUCGAAUCAUUCACAAUGGGCGAAAGCCUGAUGGUGCGACGUCGCGUGAGGGAUGAAGGUCUUCGGAUUGUAAACCUCUGUCACCAGGAAGUAAAGAUUAAGUUCAUAGCUUAAUUUGAAUUAAACUGGAGAGGAAGCAGUGGCUAACUCCGUG